rnacentral:siRNA from 1 species
UUGAUUCGCACAAUUGGUCAU